rnacentral:rRNA from 1 species
GUAACGGCGAGUGAAGCGGCAACAGCUCAAAUUUGAAAUCUGGCCCUCGGGUCCGAGUUGUAAUUUGUAGAGGAUGCUUUUGGCGCGGUGCCUUCCGAGUUCUCUGGAACGAGACGCCUUAGAGGGUGAGAGCCCCGUACGGUUGGACACCAAGCCUCUGUAAAGCUCCUUCGACGAGUCGAGUAGUUUGGGAAUGCUGCUCUAAAUGGGAGGUAAAUUUCUUCUAAAGCUAAAUAUUGGCCAGAGACCGAUAGCGCACAAGUAGAGUGAUCGAAAGAUGAAAAGCACUUUGAAAAGAGGGUUAAAUAGCACGUGAAAUUGUUGAAAGGGAAGCGUUUGCGACCAGACCUUUUCCUAGCGGAUCAUCCGGUGUUCUCACCGGUGCACUUCGCUAGGUUUAGGCCAGCAUCGGUUUCUGUAGGGGGAUAAAAGCUCUGGGAACGUAGCUCCUCCGGGAGUGUUAUAGCCCUCUGCAUAAUACCCUUACGGGGACCGAGGACCGCGCUUUUAGCAAGGAUGCUGGCGUAAUGGUCGUCAACGACCCGUCUUGAAACACGGACCAAGGAGUCGAACAUUUGUGCGAGUGUUUGGGUGUUAAACCCUCACGCGUAAUGAAGGUGAACGUAGGUGAGAGCCCUUUACGGGUGCAUCAUCGACCGAUCCUGAUGUCUUCGGAUGGAUUUGAGUAAGAGCAUAACUGUUCGGACCCGAAAGAUGGUGAACUAUGCGUGGAUAGGGUGAAGCCAGGGAAACUCUGGUGGAGGCUCGCAGCGGUUCUGACGUGCAAAUCGAUCGUCAAAUCUGCGCAUGGGGGCGAAAGACUUAUCGAACCAUCUAGUAGCUGGUUACCGCCGAAGUUUCCCUCAGGAUAGCAGUGUUUUCUUCAGUUUUAUGAGGUAAAGCGA